rnacentral:lncRNA from 1 species
AUGCCACCUGCCCUUGCUUCUUCUCAAACGUCGAAGGAGGGGUCCAGUGCAUCAUUAAACGCCCUUUCCCGUCUGCCUCCAGCAAGCGAAACUCCCGGGAGCUGCUGGCCCUCAUCCCUGGAAGAUCUUUCUCUCCCUUCCUCAGCAAGCUGUCGUACCUGUGUUCCCGUGAUGACCUCUCCCCUCUGGGCCUCUCACCCCUACAGCCCCUGCUUCCCACAUUUCGCUCCUGCCCUCGGGCCGCACCCAGAAAUGUUUUCUGGGUCGGGGCCGCCUGACAGACCUGUGAUAGGCCCGGGUGUGGAGGAGGCUGAAAUUCCUAGGAAGAGCCCAGCUGCGAGCCAAGGCUGGAGGAGUCAGGACCAGCUGGACAAGGAAACAGAGAAGCAGAACAAAUUUGAUUUUACUGACAGCUGCCACACCACGUCCGGGCACCCCAUCAAGAGGUGAAGUGCAAUCGGGGCAGGCUGUGACUCAUUUAAACAUAUAGAACGUGGCUAAGGCGGUCCAGCUUCUACCAUGCUGGCUGGGACGCUUGCCUUUGGAGCCUUGAGUCAUCCUGUAAGAUGGAAAGCUGCCCUGAGGCCAUCACGCUGACAGAAACCUCAGGCCACGCGGAGAGCUCGUGUUCAGGGUUUGGCUCACAGGUGAGCACCAGCUCAGGUGGCGAGGACAUCCAUUAACAGAUAAGAUCCAGCCCCAAGCCCUGGAGUCAGGGAGCUGCCAGAUCUUCCCAGCUGAGGCCCCAGAGAUCAUGGAGCAGAGACAAACCUGGCCCCUCUGUUCCUGACCCACAGAAUCUGUGCACGUAAUAGAUGGGGGUUUCACCCCACUGAAGUUUGGGGUAAUUUGUUACACAGCCAUAUAAAACUGGAAGAAGCAGCUACAGUAUUCUGACAAAACAAUUCUUAGCCUGGGUCCUCACACCCCAGGGAGCAGCCCUCUCUAGGAGAGCCCAGGUUUGGGGUUAAGUAUGGCAUGGCACAGUGGUCAGGAAAGCAGACCCCGGAGACAGAUUGGCAUGGAUUUGCAUCCCGACCCUCUCUGGCAGGUUAGUUUACUUCCUCAAGAGUCUCAGUUUCUUCCUCUCUAAAUGGGGAAAGUAACAGAAGCUGUCUCACAGAUUACCAUGGGGAUUAAAUGAGAUAAUUUAUGCACAACACCAGUGUCAGAUCGACUGUAUUUAACGCCUGAAACACCAAACUUUUGAACACUCCCUCCUCAAUACAAGAUUGUUUUCUGUAAUAACAUAUGUAAAAACCAGCAGUAAUCAUUAUUUUCUUGAUUUGUUUUUUAGUUUUAGAACAAAAAAUAAUUUUAAAAGAAGAAACUUCAAUUUUAAAGAUAUUAUUCAAAUUAAGUUAAACAUUUCAGGGGCCGGCCUGGUGGCGCAGCGAUUAAGUUCGCAUGUUCCGAUUCUCGGUGGCCCGGGGUUCGCCGGUUCGGAUCC